GAUGAACGCUGGCGGCGUGCCUAAUACAUGCAAGUCGAGCGAACAGACGAGGAGCUUGCUCCUAUGACGUUAUCGGCGGUCGGGAGAGUACCAUAUGGUUAACCUACCUAUACGACUGGGGUAACAUUGGCAAACCGGAGCUACUGCCGGAUAAUAUAUUGCACCGCGUGGUUCACUAGUGGAAGUCGGUUUUUCUGUCAGUUAUAGCUGAAUCCGCGCCCCAUUAGCUAGUUGGUAAGGUGACUGCUUACCAAGGCAACGAUGCGUAGCCGACCUGAGAGGGACGUUGGCCAGACUGGAAGUGAGACACGGUCCAGACUCCGACGGUAGGCAGCAGUAGAGAAUCUUACGCAAUGGGGGAGAGCCUGACAGAGCAACGCCGCGUGAGUGAUGAAGGACUUCUGAUCGGAAAGCGCUGAUAUUAGUGAAGAACAAAUGUGUAAGUAACUAUGCACGUAUUGACGGUACCGGAACAGUAAGCUACGGCUAACUACGUG
rnacentral:rRNA from 1 species